rnacentral:lncRNA from 1 species
CUAUACCCUCCAUGCCAAAACUUUAUUUCUAUUAUAAAGCAAGACCUAGAGCUAACAGGGGGAGGGGAAUCAGCGCAGCUUUAUCGAAAACAGGCCCUCCCAUUCGCCUUCUUCGUCACAAAUCAACAAGCAGAGAGACCCCCUCUCCCCUUCACGUCUUCAUUUUCCUCAACCGUUACACACCCUAAUCCCCCUUGCUUCUUCGUCUCCACCCCGAAACCAGUCAAAGCAGCCAUUUAAAUUAACCCCAAACAGUCACCAAAAAUCGUUAAAUGGCUGUUUCCUUCAGCUGAAUUUAAAAGGACUUCGAAAAGGUCAAGUCCAAAGUCUAUUGUGUCGUCGAGGUUCGAGUUUCUUCCCGUCAAUGUUUCGGACUUGUUGAAAUCUCAUUACUGUUGAAGUUGUCGAAUCUGCUGGGUUAUCUGGUUCAGAGCAGUGGAUUUGUGCUCUAGUUGCUGUUUGUUGUUGAUCUUCCUUACCAAUAGAAGUCGGAGCUGUUUGCGGUUGUUUCUCCUGCAAUUAGUAGCUGAACACCCAUUUGAAGUAAUUUUCCGUCUAUAUUUGGCUAUUUUAAAGUCUUACUACUGCUGUCCCGAAAUUUUCAUAUAUAAAAAGCUGUUUGGAGCCGUGAAAUUUUCGCUCUUUGCCUGUUGAUUUGCGUUGUCGUUACACUGUUUCUCGUUGUUAUUCUGUUGUUAUGGAGCUACAUUUGUUUUAGUUCCAUACUUUAUUUGAUUAAUUUCUAUCGGGAAAAGGAAAUGAUUGGAGUUUCGUACUGCAUUUGGAGCUGUGUAGUCAAAUGCAUUUGCUGAAGAACCCGAAAUCACUGCGUGAGAUCUGCUGGGUCUCAUCGGAAUUUUGAGAGUCAAAUAUAGGGUAGUGGCUGAUUAUUUCUACUGCUAUCAAGGAAAUAUUCGCUGGAACAGGUGUUGAACCAACGCAUAAAUCUGGACUCAAGUGGUAAUGUUACUAUCUGAACAGAUUAUCGUUUGAUUUACUGGUUUUCUAAGUGUAAUUACUCUGCAUAUUUCCUCCUAUGGCUUGGCUUAUGUGUUAAAUUCCUGUGCAUUUAGUAGUUGCAGUGAAAAUGAUUUGGUGAUACUUCUGUUGGAAGUGUUUGAUGUUCUUAUUUAAAAUGGACAGUACAUGUCUUUUAUAUUUUCUUGUAAACAUGUUUCUUCCAUGUUUCACGCUUAUAUUAGGAAGAAAAUUGGAUAUGCUAGUGAUGAAUCAAGAUUAUUCAUGUCUCGAUUUCGUUUAUGCAUAUUAAGGGAAAAGACAAACUUAGAGAGUGACAUUAUGCAAACUUAUGCUUUCUCUCAUACAUGCAUUGUCAAUUUUCUUUAUUGGAAUGUCAUCAUACAAAGAAAUAUAAUUACAUAUGCUAUCUUCGUGAAUUGUUUAGGCGUGAUUAGAUUAGCAUUGAUUUGUUAAAUUGUUUCAAAUGGUUUCUCAAGCCAAUACUAAUGCGCUGCCACAAUAACCACUUGAUACAGUUAUGACUCUAUUUUCUAUAACCCAGGCCCCUCACUUAAUUAAUUUUAAAAUUCUUAGAACUUCAGACGUGCCAUUUAGCGACUUUUCAUGGCCUCCCGCAAAAUUCACAGCCGUUAGUUGCUUUAAGCGCGUCUUUAAUAAUUUUAUCUUCCUAAGUACGGGUGCACAUUUAUGUGACCCAAAUCCAAAUCUCAAUGAAUUUGAAAUAUGUCAAAUACCGCGGGCGCAUUUAUGUGAUAUGGUUCGCAACAUGUUUUUAACAACAUUGCAAUUCUCUUAAAAAUAUUAAAAGCGGUAUAAAAAUAAUUUAAAAUUGAACUAUAGGAUGAACAUGUAAAAAAAUCAGAUUUUUAGCCAAUUAUAAUAGUUUAAGCGACCGUGCUAGAACCACGGGAUCCGAGGGUGCCUAACACCUUCCCUCGGAUCAACAGAAUUACUUACUUAGAAUUUUUGGUUAGCAGACUCCAUCUGAGCAAUCGACAAUUUUCCCCGAUUUAGGAUUCUAAAUAAACCGGUGACUUGGGACACCAAAAGCCAAACCUAUCCCAAGUGGUGACUCUAAAUAAAUAAUCUCAUUUCGAAUACUGUCACUUUAAUUGGAAAAUCCAUUAUACGUUUAUCUUUCGGGGUAGCCGUGUAAUAAUGAGGUGUGACAUCCUAUUUCGAAUUUUUUUACUCAUCUACAAUAUUUUUCCCAAUUGAAUAUUUGACAAAUAGUUUUCAAGGCUAUUAGUGCAUUCAACAACGUGAAGACCAUUGCAUACGCACUAUCAAUCAACAAAUGUUAUUAUUGUAAUAUUAUCAUUAGCAGAAGAAAGAAGAAUAAGCUUUAUUAGUUAAAAAUGACAAAGAUAAUAUGGAUGACUCAAUAUAACAAUACUAAAAGUUUUUUUUAGUUUGAAGUUGAGAUUACUUAAAUACUUUUUGUCUGCUCAAAUUUUAAUGGACAAAAUUAUAUGAUAUCUAUUAUAGCGAUCGCGAUGUAAGUUUGACUUGGAAGUGAUUUGUGGAAUUAUUUCAAAAAAUGAAAUUUUAAUGUAUAUUUUGCUGUAAAUGAAUAUUUUUGUUGGGAUGAGUUGUUUUGUGUUGUUUGAUGAACUUUUUUUUCUAGCGAUCCCGAAGUAUACUUGAUGAGCAUGAAGUUUGAUUUGGAUAUGGGAAGUUCUUGUUGAAAAAUUAUUGAUUAUAUUUUAAUUUUAAUUUUUAUUUUUUUUACUGAAGAUGAUUGAUUUUCUUGGUUGUGGUGAAUUCUGAUUUUGGUAAGUCCACUUUGUGGUCAAAAUGAUUGAUUUUUGUUGCAAUUAGUUGUUUUGCAUUGAUAGAUGAACAUUUUUUCUAGGGACAACUAAGUUUAUUGAUGAGUAUGAAGUUUGACUUGGAAGUGAUGUGCAGAAUUACUUUGAUCUUUUAAUUUAUUAAAAGAUUGAGUUUUGGUUGCGAUUUGUUGUUUUUGUUGAUUGAUGAACCUUUUUUCAACCGGUUGUGAAGUAUAUUUGAUUAGUACGAAGUUUGACUUGGAAGUGGGAAGUAAAACUGAAAGCUGACUUGUUUUUUCUCUUCAUUAUGUUACUUUUAAAAAAAAAGGAAAGAUGGCUUAUUAUAGUUUGGAUUACACUUCCACAGAUCGAUUGACCUUGUCUUUGUCAGUGGGUUGAUCUGUGGUGAUUUGCUGCGGUUAUUUUAUUUUGUUUCCCUUUUUGGGUGCUCUAAUGUACCUAUUAUGCUAUUUAUUGUUUUACCACGUUUGAAAACUGUGUUGUUCCGACUCAUCCUCCAAAGUAGUGCAUUUUUGGAGAAUUCGACAUGGAUAUGACCCCACAUAUUUGGAGAGCCGGGGCAACAUAGGCUUAAAUGUUUUGAAUUGAUGCCCAAUCUGAAACUUAUUUAUAAUUGUCAUUAAAAAUAGAGAAUGCUAUUUAUCUAGUUCUGUGAAAUGCUUCUUUAAUUACUUUUGCUAAAAUACUUAGUUUUCAAUAUUCUAGUUAUUGGUAAUUAGGUCAGAAGAAACACAUCCUUGCUGUCCUUGGGCAAUUGGAUGUUUGAGUUGAAACUUGCUAGAUCAUGUGCUGUGCUCAUAGUUGGUGCAGUAUGCACUAAUAUCUUGGGUUUAUUCUUUGCUCAGGCAUCUUCAGGUAACAAUUUGGAGAAAGGAGAAUAUUGUUAGUUUCAGGAGGAAGGUCUACACUGAAUCCGAAUGCACCUCUUCAGGCUGUAAACUGAUUGCUUUAUCUUUUUAUAAAUAAAGAUUACAGAAUAAAAUAAAAUAAAUUGUAUAACAUGUAUCAAAGGAAAAUUUCUCAACUUUGUUAUAUGAAUUCAAUACAACAAAUUCUAAUUUAAACAUAAGAGUAAUAAUUUUACAUGGUCAUAUACCAAGGAUCAAUUGAAACCCACUUCACUAAUCUAAUUUGUUUGAACAUUAACAAUUUUUUUAUUGACACACAAAAAUAUAUAUCUGAAAUAGUAUCAAAUUUAGCAGAAAAUAAGGAAGAAGAAAUUGCUGAAAACGAAGAGAAGAUUUUCAAAUUACUUACUCGUGUUGGGUGAUAGCAAUGAAUGGUUAAGUCAGAAAAGAAGCAAGAAAAUUGCUCUACCGGAAAAUCUGAUAGAAAAAGCAUUAAACACGAACUUGUGAAAUUUGACAGAAAAAGCAUAAAACACGAAUUAUAAUCGUAUUUUCUUCUUAAAACGCAUUCAUCAAGUGCGAUUAUCCCUUCUUAAUUUUUCUCAUAUUCCUAAUAAUUUUACACCACUGAAAUUGUUGACAAUCGGAGAGAGAGAGUAGCAUGAAAAAAAUUUAUUUCACUAAACUAAAUUACUUUUUUUUUAAUUGAUAUUCCACCUGCUAUGAGUUCUCCAUCAAAAGGAACCUUUACUCUCCGUGUUUGAAACCUCUGAUUAAGUAUUUAAAAAAAUUUUUAACUAAAUAAACAUUAACAAAAGAAUAUUUCUCACAAAUUAAAGUAUUAAUCAAUUGUAUUUAAGUGAUAGGAUUUAAAAAAUUAAACUAAGUUAACAUUAACAAAAGAAUAUUUCUCACAAAUUAAAGUAUUAAUCAAUUAUAUUUAAGUGAUAAAAUUAUUUAAUUAACUUUAAAUUUUCUCUCUCUCUCCGAUUGUCAACAAUUUCAGUGGUGUAAAAUUAAUAGGAAUAUGAGAAAACUUAAGAAGGGAUAACCGCACUUGAUGAAUGUGUUUUAAGAAGAAAAUACGAUUAUAAUUCGUGUUUUAUGCUUUUUCUGUCAAAUUUCACAAGUUCGUGUUUUAUGUUUUUUCUAUCAGAUUUUCCGGUAGAGCAAUUUUCUUGCUUCUUUUCUGACUUAACCAUUCAUUGCAUCACCCAGCACCAGUAAGUACUUUGAAAAAUCUUCUCUUCUUUUUUAGCAGUUUUCUUCUUCCUUAUUUUCUGUUAAAUUUGAUACUAUUUCAGAUAUAUAUUUUUGUGGGUCUUUAAAAAAUCGUUAAUGUUCAAACAAAUUAGAUUAGUGAAGUGAGUUUCAAUUGAUUCUUGGUAUAUGACCAUGUAAAGUUAUUACUCUUAUGUUUAAAUUAGAAUUUGUUGUAUUGAAUUCAUAUAACAAAGUUGAGAAAUUUUCCUUUAAUACAUGUUAUACAAUUUAUUUUAUUUUAUUCUGUAAUCUUUAUUUCUGAAAAGAUAAAGGAAUCAGUUUACAACCUGAAGAAUAGAUAUUUUGACUAUUCCAUAAUGAUGGAAUGAAGGCAGUGUUAUUUAGCAUUUUCCACUCUUAUUAAUGAAACAUGCUCGAUUUUGUCUUGUUUUUCUUUUUUUAGUUUAUUUCCUAUUAAGACUAGUAUCCCAGUCUGCACUACAUGUGUUGUCUUUUUGUGUUAACCUUAUUGAAAAAUCGCAAAUUUACAAACUUUUUUAGUAGUCUCUAGAUUUGUGAGUGAAUAUCGUCUAUGCAUUUAUCACAACAUACAAGGUUUCUAAGAGUAGAAUUUUUUAAGUAGAGCCUGAUAUACAUUUUGCUUGUUACUUUAAUUUUACUAUUUCUUUAGCCGAGGCUCUAUCGGAAACAACCUCUCUGCCUUUAUAGGAUAGGGGUAAGGCUGCGUAUAUACUACCCUCCCCACACCUCAUAUAUGUGAUUAAGCUGGGUUUUUUGUUGUUGUUGUUGUUAGUAACAUGAUAUACAUUAGUUAUGUGUACAAGUGGAGCCUGAUAAGAUAACCUUAUAUGCAACAACUACAACAACAACAACUACCCAGUAUAGUCCCACAAAGUGGGGUCUGGGGAGGGUAANNNN